rnacentral:rRNA from 1 species
AGAGUUCGAUUCUGGCUCAGGAUGAACGCUGGCGGCGUGCUUAACACAUGCAAGUCGAACGAAGCUUGACUCUUGAAUUUUUCGGAAGGAUAGACGAUAUGACUGAGUGGCGGACGGGUGAGUAACGCGUGGGCAACCUGCCUUAUACAGGGGGAUAACAGUUAGAAAUGACUGCUAAAACCGCAUAAGACCACAGGAUCGCAUGAUCUAGUGGUAAAAACUCCGGUGGUAUAAGAUGGGCCCGCGUCUGAUUAGCUAGUUGGUGAGGUAACGGCUCUACCAAGGCAACGAUCAGUAGCCGGCUUGAGAGAGUGGACGGCCACAUUGGGACUGAGACACGGCCCAA